rnacentral:rRNA from 1 species
UACGUAGGGACCGAGCGUUGUCCGGAUUCAUUGGGCGUAAAGAGCUCGUAGGCGGCCACUCAAGUCGAAUGUGAAACCUCGAGGCUUAACCUCGAGCCUGCAUUCGAUACUGGGUGGCUAGAGUCUGGUAGGGGGAUCUGGAAUUCCUGGUGUAGCGGUGGAAUGCGCAGAUAUCAGGAGGAACACCGGUGGCGAAGGCGGCAUCCUGGACCGAUACUGACGCUGAGGAGCGAAAGCCAGGGGAGCAAACGGG